GUCUGCGUAGCUCAGCAGGAUAGAGCACAGGAUUCCUGAUGCAAAUUGGGCGGUGCGGUUCGAAAGUCCGCAUCGGAUCUGCUCAAAUUCGGGGAAGGCUUCGCGCAACUCGCGCCGAUGCGGAUCCCGAGCCAAGCCGGCACUGCCGGAAGGUGUAGAGACUGGUAGGGCAGCACCUACGGGCUUCGGUCUAGGGUGAAGGGACAGUCCAGACCACGAACGCCCGCAAGGCGGCGGCGAAAGUCGAAGUGGUAUGAAUCCUGGGGUCGUGGGUUCGAAUCCCGCCGCAGACACCA
rnacentral:tRNA from 1 species